UUCGGAUUGUAGUCUGCAACCCGGCUACAUGAAGCUGGAAUCGCUAGUAAUCGCGGAUCAGAAUGCCGCGGUGAAUACGUUCCCGGGUCUUGUACACACCGCCCGUCACACCAUGGGAGUCGGAAAUGCCCGAAGUCUGUGACCCAACCUCAGGGAGGGAGCAGCCGAAGGCAGGUCGGAUGACUGGGGUGAAGUCGUAACAAGGUAGC
rnacentral:rRNA from 1 species